rnacentral:lncRNA from 1 species
CAAGUCAGAAGACUUGUAGUUUAGAAGUUGUCGUUGGUUCAUUUCUGUCAUAUUUGUUUAUCGUAAAUUGUUUUACUAUACAUUGGGCCCAAUCUUAUUAAAAUAAGUUCUCAUCACUUGCUCCUCGAUUUUUUAUAUGUCGACACGGCGACAUAUAAAAAAUCGAGGAGCAAGUGAUGAGAACUUAUUUUAAUAAGAUUGCAUUGGGCCGUUAUUUUUUUUCUUUUCAAAUGUUUCAUAUUUUUCUGUCGGCCCCUUUUAGCCGACUAUACGGUCUCGUCUUUUGCUCAACAUUGAAGGCUGCACGGUUACCUAUCAUUGAUUACAC